CUUGGCUCAGGAUGAACGCUAGCUACAGGCUUAACACAUGCAAGUCGAGGGGCAGCAUUGGGAUAGCUUGCUAUUCCAGAUGGCGACCGGCGCACGGGUGAGUAACGCGUAUCCAACCUUCCCUAUAGUAGAGAAUAGCCCGGCGAAAGUCGGAUUAAUGCUCUAUGUUGUGUUUUGAGGACAUCUGACGAACACCAAAGGUUCACCGCUAUAGGAUGGGGAUGCGUCUGAUUAGCUUGUUGGCGGGGUAACGGCCCACCAAGGCGACGAUCAGUAGGGGUUCUGAGAGGAAGGUCCCCCACAUUGGUACUGAGACACGGACCAAACUCCUACGGGAGGCAGCAGUGAGGAAUAUUGGUCAAUGGGCGAGAGCCUGAACCAGCCAAGUAGCGUGCAGGACGAACCUGCCCUAUGGGUUGUAAACUGCUUUUAUCAGGGAAUAAAGUGCGGCACGUGUGCCGCUUUGUAUGUACCUGAUGAAUAAGGACCGGCUAAUUCCGUGCCAGCCGCUGC
rnacentral:rRNA from 1 species